AUUUUUCCUGUGUCGAGAUCAAUGUAGACAGUUUGAGCAACAGCACAAGCGAAAAUAGCAGAGAAGAUUCCAAUAUUAAUUAGACACUUCAUCAUGAUUUUUUAUUUUUAGACCCAGAAAGCUAGCAGCUCCACGUCCAAAUGAUCACUGAAGUAAUCAUCGUUGGAGUUACUCAAUUUGCCUCGUCAUAUUCUUUUUAAUGAUUGGGAUGUGUGUGUGGGACUUGUAACAGGAAUGGCGUAAAUAGGAAACGAAAAUAUCUUAUUGAAUAUUGAUGUUUCUGUUUCUUUGAGGUUCAACCGGUUAGGGGACUCUUCCAAUUGUUGAGCGUGUGAAAGAUAUUACAUCGUCAUUGGCUUCAUCAUCAUUUCUCCGAUGUAGAAAUUGUUCCUCGAGAUUGAGAAUUACAACUAUGAAUAUCGAUGCACCAGCAAAUAAAACAUAAAGGAAUGCCUCCAAAGAUAACUACCAGAACAAAAAUGGACAGUAAAAAGUUUAACGAUUAUUUCGACACAAUAUUUCUGACGUGCCUCUUGACGAUAUCUAAAUAAUGGUCUGAAGACGAUGUCUUCGGCGACGUCCAUGUCCUCCAGAGAACGUCGUACCUGCGUUAUUACGUAAUAAAUUUAAACCCCAAGGUAUUGCAAUUGAAAACAAUGCAGAUAUAGUACGGAGAUUUGCGACCAGAGGACUGACUUGAGUCGUUGGGGGAUUGGAAUUUGGAUCUACAACUGGUACCAGAGGAACCAGGAGUCCAUGAC